rnacentral:piRNA from 1 species
UAAGAAGUUCAGAUUCUCGGGGGAC